rnacentral:rRNA from 1 species
CAUGUAGGGCGCAAGCGUUGUCCGGAAUUAUUGGGCGUAAAGAGCUCGUAGGCGGUCUGUUGCGUCCGCUGUGAAAACCCGGGGCUUAACCCUGGGCUGGCAGUGGAUACGGACAGACUAGAGGUAGGUAGGGGAGAAUGGAAUUCCCGGUGUAGCGGUGAAAUGCGCAGAUAUCGGGAGGAACACCGGUGGCGAAGGCGGUUCUCUGGGCCUUACCUGACGCUGAGGAGCGAAAGCGUGGGGAGCGAACAGG